UACGUAGGGUCCGAGCGUUGUCCGGAUUUAUUGGGCGUAAAGAGCUCGUAGGCGGUGUGUCGCGUCGGUCGUGAAAACUUGGGGCUUAACCCUGAGCUUGCGGUCGAUACGGGCAUCACUGGAGUUCGGCAGGGGAGACUGGAAUUCCUGGUGUAGCGGUGAAAUGCGCAGAUAUCAGGAAGAACACCCGUGGCGAAAGCGGCUCUCUGGAACGGUACUGACGCUGAGACGCGAAAGCGUGGGGAGCGAACAGG
rnacentral:rRNA from 1 species